UACGAGGGGUGCAAGCGUUGCUCGGAAUUAUUGGGCGUAAAGGGUAGGUAGGUGGUCUCAUUUGUCUGGGGUGAAAUCCUUGAGCUUAACUCAAGAACUGCCCCAGAAACGGUGAGACUAGAGUCCUGGAGAGGGUCGUGGAAUUCCCGGUGUAGCGGUGAAAUGCGUAGAGAUCGGGAGGAACACCAGAGGCGAAGGCGGCCCGCUGGGCCGUACCUGACACUGAGGCGCGAUAGCAUGGGGAGCAAACAGG
rnacentral:rRNA from 1 species